CCGCCGCAGAUUCGACACAAAACCCGGAAGGACCCCGCCGAAGGUUUUCUCCGGUUCGGGAGAGAGACGGAGUCCCGCUCUGUCACGCAGGCUGCCAGGCUGGCGUACAGUGGCGCAAUCUCAGCUCGCUGCAACCUCCACCUCCUGGGUUCAAGCGAUUUUCUUGCCUCUGCCUCCUGAGUAGCUGGGAUUACUGGCACACACCACCAUGCACAGUUGCAGGAAUUUAGCCAAUUCAGAGGUCUUGUUCUCCAUAAUUUGGAAUUUUCCUUCGGAUUUGAUCAAGUUGGAUAGAGUUGGUCAAACCCAAUGGGAAAAAGAUGAAAACAACAAGAAACAGAAACAAACAGCAACAACAACAACAACAAAAACAAUGCAUUUAAUUAAAUGAAGAUGAGCUCAUGCUGGAGUAGGGUGGACUCUGAACCCAGUGGGACAAGCGUCCUUAUUAAGAAGAGGGAAAUCUGGACACACACAGAGCAGAGACCGCCGUGUGAAGAUGGAGGCAGAGAUCGGAGAGAUGCUGCCACACGCCACAAAUGCCUGGGGCUCCCAGAAACUACACGGAGCCUCCCCCAGCGGCUUCAGCAGGAGCAUGGCUCGGCCAACACUUUGAUCUUGGUCUUCCAGCCUCCAGAACGGUGAGUCGGCUUCCGGUCCACACGGACAGCUCUGACCCCGAGAAGAUUCUUUGUCUUAGACAAACAUCUGCCUCCCUGUAACUUCGGUUCACCGAUACUUGCUCUGCACUCCAGGGCCAUACAGAACCCCUCUGCUCCCUCUGCCCUUAGCCAUUGGCUCCUAGGAGACACUAGCUUGUCCGGCCGUCGCUUUAAACUGUCUAGUUCCAACUCCCUCAGAACUUCCUCAGUGAUGCAGUUUCCUGACGGUCAUAUUGCCUGGAUAAGCUCCAGUAUGUUCAACUCCCUCUGUGGUUCAGCAACCAGGACUAAACAGGAUUCACCUGAUGCACAUUCUAACCAGAGUCAAGAGGGCAGAAGCAUCGCCUCCUGCGUUCCAAGCUCAAUAUCUCAAUUGUAAUCCCCACAUGUCAAGGGAGGGGCUUGGUGGGAGGUGAUUGGAUCAUGGGGGUGGUUUGCCCCAUGCUGUUCUCAUAAUAGUGAGGGGUUUCUCACGAGAUCUGAUGGUUUUAUAAGGGGCUCUUUCCCCUUUGUGCACCCUCUCUCUUUCCUGCUUCCUUGUGAAGAAGGUACUUGCUUCUCUUUCUCCUGCCAAAGCAUGACCUUAUAAUUGUAAGUUUCCGGAGGCCUCCCCAGCCAUGCGGAACUGUGAGUCAAUGAAACCUCUUUCUUUUAUAAGUGACCCAGUCUUGGGUAUUUCUUUAUAGCAGUGUGAAAAUGGACUAACACAGAUAUUUGGCAGGCAUCCAGUAGUCUUCGAUAAACACAACCACCAUCUAGUGGCCAGAACAGCCUUAUCGGACCCCACUGUCUGCAAUGAAAAGCUGUUCCUUUCCUCAUCCUUUACAGGGCCAAGCACCCAGCAUCCUGGGACAGUGGCCCCGUGUGCCCAGCUUUGAGGAUGAGCUCAUGCCUGGUUGCUCUGGGUGGAGAGAGGGAAGAGUUGAAUCAACAUCCAUAUGUAUAAAUCUCCUUUUGUGCAUUUAGAAUCACGUCCUUAGAAUAAAUUGCGAUCAGUGGCAUUACUGAAGCAAAUUGUAUCAAAAAUGCAAAAAAGACCCAUUUUUCCAAAUUGUUUUCUAACAAGGAAGUCAUAUUGUUUGCUUUUUGAUACUGUUCUUUAGAAAACGAUGCAUGAGAGUUUUACAUUUCAUAUAGUGUGUUCUAUUUAUUUUAUACUUUGCAAUUUCUGUAAUUUUUAAGCACUGUUCUUCCCAUACUAGAGGCUCUGCUCUAACUAUUCAACUUUUGUUUGUCCUAGUUUUCCUAAAAUUCCCUUUUCCACUGGUGUGUGGUGCAAGAUGAGGCACAUUUUCCAUGGAUGGUGAACAGAGGGAGGAGCCUUUUGAUCACAACCAGGUCACCCCACUUCUAAGCCACUGUGCCUCCAGCCCCACAAGACUAAGGAGAGAGAGCGCAGCGUGGUGGAGAGUGAGCUGUGCUGGGACCAUUGUUUCCGUAACCUCGUUUUCUGUGUCCAGCUGACACACCUUCAAAGUGGCAUCAGGUCCUAAACUGUAGCUUGCAAUGUGCCUGUUUCCAGAAACCAAGGUGAAAGUGCUUUUAGACAGUGUUCCCAUGCAAGAGUCCCUUCCCAGCUUUUUUCUGGAAAUGCAUGUUUCUCUGAACUCUGAGUCCCAAGAAAAAUCACUUGAGACACCAAGAAAAUGGGGGAAGUGCUAAAAUUGUGUGGGAAUUCAAGCUUAACAAUAAACAUCAAGACAUUUUUGAUAAAAAUGAAUCCACUGACAUCGGGGAGGAGCAAGAGAACAGCACGCUGACACUGGGUCAGAGGCUAAGACCGACAUUUCUGGGAACCACUCCCGGAAGGGCACAGAGGAGACGCUUUCAGCCUCUCAUCAGCCAGCCUGGCCUGUAGCUGCUGCACGUUAUGAGUGUGUUCCUGGCAUGACUGCUUCUAACAGUGAGUUUUCUGGCAAAUCAAAUAAAUACUAAUAAGUCUGUAUGCACAUUAUACUUUAUACAAAUCCUAUGAGUGAUGUUCCAGAAAUAACAAGUUUUGAAGGCAAAAUAAGUCCUUAAAUUGGCAACUUUGACACAUAAUUCCAUGUAGUAGUUAAUCUUGCUAGAAGAUCCCAAUGUUGUUAUUCUAAUACAAUCUGAUA
ensembl:lncRNA GARS1-DT GARS1 divergent transcript